rnacentral:rRNA from 1 species
UUGGCUUAGAAGCAGCCAUCGUUUAAAGAAAGCGUAAUAGCUCACUGGUCUAAUGGCUCUGCGCCGAAAAUGUAACGGGGCUAAGCAUGGUACCGAAGCUUUGGCAAUCUCUUUUGAGAUUGGGUAGGGGAGCGUUCGCUACGGGCUGAAGGUGUGCCGGAAGGCAUGCUGGACUGUAGUGAAGUGAUUAUGCUGACAUGAGUAACGAUAAAAUAUGUGAAAAACAUAUUCGCCGAAAACCCGAGGUUUCCUGGGUAAAGGUAAUCUUCCCAGGGUUAGUCGGAUCCUAAGGUGAGGGCGAAAGCCGUAGCCGAUGGUAAACAAGUUAAUAUUCUUGUACUUGUCGUGUAGCGCGAUGGAGGGACGCAGGAAGAUAGGCGGGCCGGGUGUUGGAUAUCCCGGUGCAAGCGUGUAGGAGUGUCCGGUAGGCAAAUCCGCCGGAUGUAUCUGAGACGCGAGUCCGUGGGCGCAAGCCCUGAAGCCGUUGAGUCUAUGCUGCCUAGAAAAGCUCCUAAGUAUAUCCACGGCAAUCCGUACCGCAAACCAACUCAGGUGGGUGGGAUGAACAAUCCAAGGCGCUCGAGAGAACUCUGGCCAAGGAACUCGGCAAAAUAACCCCGUAACUUCGGAAGAAGGGGUGCUCUCUAGGGUGACAUGUUUAACAUAUGAAGCCCCGGAGAGCCGCAGUGAAUUGGUGGUGGCGACUGUUUACUAAAAACAUAGGUCUGUGCGAAGUCCUAAAGACGACGUAUACGGACUGACGCCUGCCCGGUGCUGGAAGGUUAAAAGGAGGAGUCAGCGCAAGCAAAGCUCCGAAUUGAAGCCCCAGUAAACGGCGGCCGUAACUAUAACGGUCCUAAGGUAGCGAAAUUCCUUGUCGGGUAAGUUCCGACCUGCACGAAUGGCGUAACGAUCUCCACACUGUCUCGGCCAGAGACUCGGUGAAAUUGCAGUCGCGGUGAAAAUUCCGUGUACCCGCAGAAAGACGGAAAGACCCUGUGCACCUUUACUAUAGCUUGACAUUGGAUUUUGGACCUACAUGUGUAGGAUAGGUGGGAGGCAGUGAACCAUGCACGCCAGUGUGUGGGGAGCCAACGUUGAAAUACCACCCUUGUAUGUUUAAGAUCCUAACGUCCACCAGUAAUCCUGGGGACAGACAGUGUCUGGCGGGUAGUUUGACUGGGGCGGUCGCCUCCUAAAGUGUAACGGAGGCAUGCAAAGGUUCCCUCAGCCUGAUCGGAAACCAGGCGCUGAGUGCAAACGCAUAAGGGAGCUUGACUGUAAGAGAGACAUCUCGAACAGGAACGAAAGUUGGCGUUAGUGAUCCGGUGGUCCCGAAUGGAAGGGCCAUCGCUCAUUGGAUAAAAGGUACGCCGGGGAUAACAGGCUGAUCGCAUCCAAGAGUUCACAUCGACGAUGCGGUUUGGCACCUCGAUGUCGGCUCAUCACAUCCUGGGGCUGAAGCAGGUCCCAAGGGUACGGCUGUUCGCCGUUUAAAGUGGUACGCGAGCUGGGUUUAAAACGUCGUGAGACAGUUUGGUCCCUAUCUUCUGUGGGCGAAGGAGAAUUGAGAGGGCCUGUCCCUAGUACGAGAGGACCGGGAUGGACGCACCCCUGGUGAUCCUGUUGUCGCGCCAGCGGCAUAGCAGGGUAGCUAUGUGCGGAAGGGAUAACCGCUGAAAGCAUCUAAGCGGGAAGCCUGCCUCAAGAUAAGUUCUCCCCUCGAAAGAGCUGAAGGACCCAGAUAGACUAUCUGGUUGAUAGGCUGGAGGUGUAAGCGUGGCGACAUGCUCAGCUGACCAGUACUAAUAGUCCGAGCGGCUUAUUUUU